GGGUCCGUCCCGGAGCCCGACCAUACCAGCGAGGGUUAUGAACCAGGACACGCAGGCCAUGGUGGACACCGGCAGCGUGGUCACCCUCCUCCCCCCGGACUUGGCGGGAGGGAGGGAGGGGAAACCCAUCGAGGUGGCCUGCGUGCACGGGGACAUACGGUCCUAUAAGACCUGCCAUGUGGUCGUACGGACACCACAAGGGGUGUUUACGGCACGGGCGGGGAUUGUGCCCCACCUCCCGGUUCCGCUCCUAAUUGGGAGGGACUGCCCGAUUGUCCGUCGGCUUUGGGACCCGGCGCUGGAGUCCCGGGGCAGGAGAGGCAGCCGCCGCCGGCGCAGCGGGAGACGAAGCGGCGGGAGACGAGGCGGCCGGAGACGAAGCUGCCGGAGACGAGGCUGCCGGAGACGAGGCUGCCGGAGACGAGGCUGCCGGAGACGAGGCUGCCGGAGACGAGGCUGCUGGAGAUGACGCAGCCGACGCAGACCAAGCACCUGACUACCCGGGGCUUAGACAAAGGGUGGAGGAGUGUGGCA
ensembl:lncRNA